CUCCACCAGAAAUAAACUGGAGGAAAGGCUUUGGUGUAUAACCCACACAGUGAGACCUGUGCAGGAUGCUGCACGUGGAAUCCUUGCAUUGCUAACCACUUCACAAUUCUGCAAGGAACAUGCACUGCUCUGUCAGUUCAACAUCCCAACAGCAAAGGACUGUGUGACCUUCAUAUACCAUUGAAGCUGUGUGAUGUCAGGUUCCUCUCCUAAAUGUUAUGCUAGAAACGUGAACCUUGCUGAAGUUGUUAGCAUCUUGUUCAGACACAGAAGCCAGCACCAGGAGCUAAAAUGGUAGGUGUUCUCUGCAAACUUUGUUUAAA
rnacentral:lncRNA from 1 species